UCUUAUGGAUGAGCAAAGAAAGUGGUUUCUUGAGAUGGAAUCUACUCCUGGUUGAAGAUGCUGUGAA
rnacentral:pre_miRNA from 1 species